GAGUUUGAUCUUGGCUCAGAUUGAACGCUGGCGGCAUGCCUUACACAUGCAAGUCGAACGGCAGCGCGGGGCAACCUGGCGGCGAGUGGCGAACGGGUGAGUAAUAUAUCGGAACGUACCCUGGAGUGGGGGAUAACGUAGCGAAAGUUACGCUAAUACCGCAUACGAUCUAAGGAUGAAAGUGGGGGACGCGCAAGCACCUCAUGCUCCUGGAGCGGCCGAUAUCUGAUUAGCUAGUUGGUGGGUAAAGGCCUACCAAGGCAUCGAUCAGUAGCUGGUCUGAGAGGACGACCAGCCACACUGGAACUGAGACACGGUCCAGACUCCUACGGGAGGCAGCAGUGGGGAAUUUUGGACAAUGGGCGAAAGCCUGAUCCAGCAAUGCCGCGUGAGUGAAGAAGGCC
rnacentral:rRNA from 1 species